rnacentral:tRNA from 1 species
GCCUGGGUGGCUCAGUCGGUUAAGCAUCCAACUUUGGCUCGGGUCGUGAUCUCGCAGUUCAUGGGUUCAAACCCCGCAUCCAGGCA